GAAAUUAGCGCUGUGGAACCACCCGAUCCCAUCCCGAACUCGGAAGUGAAACGCAGCCGCGCCGAUGGUAGUGUGGUCUAAACCAUGCGAGAGUAGGUCAUCGCC
rnacentral:rRNA from 1 species